CCCUUAGAUGUUCUGGGCCGCACGCGUGCUACACUGAGUGGAUCAGCGGGUCAGGUUGCGCGAAAGCGUUUCCUAUUCUUUAAAUCCGCUCGUGAUGGGGAUUGACGGUUGCAAUUUUCUGUCAUGAACGAGGAAUACCUUGUAAGCGCGGGUCAUCAUCCCGCGCUGAAUACGUCCCUGCCCUUUGUACACACCGCCCGUCGCUCCUACCGAUUGAGUGGUCCGGUGAGGCUUUGGGAUCUGAGCGGAAAGAGCGUUUCGCUGUUUCUGCUCGGAAAACUCAGUCGAACCUUAUCAUUUAGAGGAAGGAGAAGUCGUAACA
rnacentral:rRNA from 1 species